rnacentral:rRNA from 1 species
GAUGAACGCUGGCGGCGUGCUUAACACAUGCAAGUCGAACGAUGAAGCCCAGCUUGCUGGGUGGAUUAGUGGCGAACGGGUGAGUAACACGUGAGUAACCUGCCCUUAACUCUGGGAUAAGCCUGGGAAACUGGGUCUAAUACCGGAUAGGAGCGUCCACCGCAUGGUGGGUGUUGGAAAGAUUUCUGGGUUUUGGAGGGCCUCGCGCCCUAUAAGCUUUUUGGUGGGGUAUUGUCCCACAAGGCCGACGACGGGGGGCGGGCCUGAGGGGGUGACCGGCCACACUGGGACUGAGACACGGCCCAGACUCCUACGGGAGGCAGCAGUGGGGAAUAGUGCACAAUGGGCGCAAGCCUGAUGCAGCGACGCCGCGUGAGGGAUGACGGCCUUCGGGUUGUAAACCUCUUUCAGUAGGGAAGAAGCGAAAGUGACGGUACCUGCAGAAGAAGCACCGGCUAACUACG